GACGAACGCUGGAGGCGUGCUUAACACAUGCAAGUCGAACGAUGAAAUGGAGCUUGCUCCAUGGAUUAGUGGCGAACGGGUGAGUAACACGUGAAUAACCUGCCCUUAAUUUUGGAAUAACCCAGGGAAACCUGGGCUAAUACCGGAUAAGUAAACCUGUGGCAUCACAUGGUUUUGGAAAGUUUUUCGAUUAAGGAUGGAUCCGAGGCCUAUACGCUUGUUGGUGAGGUAAUGGCUCACCAAGGCGACGACGGGUAGCCGGCCGGAGAGGGGGAACGGCCACACUGGGACUGAGACACGGCUAAGACUCCUACGGGAGGCAGCAGUGGGGAAUAUUGCGCAAUGGACGAAAGCCUGACGCAGCGACGCCUCGUGAGGGACGAAGGUCUUCGGAUUGUAAACCUCUUUCAGCAGGGACGAAGCGAAAGUGACGGUACCUGCAGAAGAAGCACCGGCUAACUAUGUGCCAGCAGCCGCAGCAG
rnacentral:rRNA from 1 species